rnacentral:lncRNA from 1 species
GGAAAACUAUGUAAUGCCUAGCGCUGUUGUCUUAGAUCCCUUGUCUGGGUUAUCUGCCUCGUUUAUGUUUGUUUUUCCUAGUAAUCAGAUAGUAAUACUCAUAUCAGCAGCGGAUCUUGUUCCAAAAAAAGAGUGUUCUUUGUAAGCAAGUGACUUAGUUAAGUCAAAAUUUUUAAGGUAAGUACUAUAUAAAUUUAAUUUUUAAUCAUCUAAUUAAUAGUGUGAUGAUACAAUCAUAAAUUUUUGUAUAAAUUUAUCUUAUACAAAUUGAUAUAUAAUUAAUUUAUUAGUUAAAUAAAAAUAUAAAAUAAUAAAAAUAAAUUAUGUGAGUCAAAAAAUAUUUAAUUCAACUCAUAAAUUAACGUCAUAUCAAUUUUUAUAAAAUAAAUUUAUAUAAAAAUUUAUAGAUAUAUCACUACUCCAUUUUAUAAGUUAACUGGGGUUAUCACAGUUGAUAGCGACUCGAAGCAAAAAUAGAAAGAAACUGAUGGAAUAAUUUAAGAUAUCAUCAUCCGGCUCUGUUCUUUUAUUUAAUUGUCAAAUUUCAUUUUCAUACUAGGAGAGAAACAAACCAUCAAACAUUCAUUCAAGGCAAUCCCUAAGUUACGUUUAACGUAACAUACGAUCAGUGAAAUGAUAACCGUCAUAUAUCUUGAAUUUGGAUCUAACGGAUAUUAUUAAAUUUAUGCAAAAAUAGUUGGAAUGGCAAACUGGCUGAAUAGGUUAAUUGAAGAGAUGGGUUACCGGAUGAAACGGUUUGAAUGCUUUUUUGCAAACUCAGGCGAUUGAUUGCUCUUCUGCCAUUGAAUUACAGAAGGGCUCUGCUGCCGUUGAAUUACAGAAGUGCAGGAAAGCCAAAGAAGAGGAGAAGAGUGAGAGGGGGAUGCAAUUACAAGGGUAGAAAGUGGAAGAAUUUUCGAUAGCAGGCCACGAGACUUGCAUUAUUUUCCCCUCUCUCGAUUUAUCAAUGCCAUUCUCGAGCUAUCUCUCAAAAUUUCCUCUUUAUCUCCGACGCCCACAUGGAUCACGUUGUUAGUUCUCCUUCUCGUUUCUCUUUAUUUUUUUAAAUUUUUUAAUUAAUUUUGUUUGGUCAAAAAAUUAUUUCAUACCAGAAAAGUAAUAGCUCUUGAACGCUUUUGAUUACUUGUUGUCAGAUUGAUUAAUAUUUUUAGCUUUAAGAUUGUCAGUCAAUGGAAGUUCACUUAGCUACGUUCUUAAAAUUUGUAUUUGAGUAGUUAUACAUGGAAUUUUUCUUUUCGACAAUUGUUCGAUUUUUUUCUUUUUAUUUUAUUUUUAAUUUGCUGGGACUGCCUUCUUAAGUAUUAUUGAAAAAUUCAUUUAAUGCCUACAUUUACAGAGAGGAUUGCCCAUGUAUGUUGCUACCAGAGGCCUGUACCUCAUGAAGCCCCCCACUAUUGUUGUUCCCUCUUGUAUUAAAGAAGAUGCGGAACAACUCUUUGAGAGUCAUAGAAGGAUGGAUGAUUAUGAGCUGAGGCAUACACUGGUUGGCUUGGAUGUGGGCAAUGUUUAACCUUUACUUCGGAUAAAAAUUGUAUGACCUUGUUUGAUACUUUCGCUUCUCCUUUGUUUAAUUCAACUUCACAUUUUUGCAGGGGAAGAGUUUUGCUUGAGAAAGGACCUUUUGAGCUUUCAAAACUCACCAUGUUAUAGAUAGCCAGGUAAACUUCAUUCUGUUGUCAUAUUUUUUUAACGUUGGUUUCCCAUGAAGACUUGUUUGAUUUAAUUAUAUGGCUUUGUUAGAAUCUACUUUGAGCUGUGUUAUGCUUUCCUGACUGGCUUCAUUCCUGACACAUUGCAGGGUUAUGUAAUUUACUCUGUGAAGUAGAAACUUAAGCAAGAGCAGUUUGGCCUUCCUGGGGAUGAGAUUAAGAAAUUGAAGCCGCCAGACACGGGGGUCUUGUAUUUUGUCUGCAAAUCGUCUAAGUUUUUGUCCCCACAUUUUCAUCAAUAGGGGAAGUGUGAGUGCAAUUUCAGUCGUCCAAGGGCCUUCAGAUAGGGUCUUGUCAAAACAUUUUUGUUUUUACAGGACCCCAGCAAUCCCAUCUUUGCCUGAAGCUGUAGAUGGAAAGCGGCACAUCACUUAUCAGGUGAGUGUAUCUCAUUUUAUCAGCUUAUUCAAUAUUUCAUUUCAUUGCUUCCUAUGGUUAAUUGUUGCUACCAAUUUGCAUCAGAUGGAGAAGAACAGGGGUUUGACAGAUGCAUACAGGAACCAGUUCACAUCCUUGCAUACUAUUCAAAAUUUCUUGGCUAACAUAAGGGAUGGCCGUUUCCUACGUGCUAAAGACAUGAUCUUGAAACUAAAUAAAUUGAAGUUACCUCUUAAGUGAGAGCACGUGGCAAAGAUUGCUGGCAAGGGAGUUGCUCCUGGAAGACUGCAUAUGGCUCAUGCUAUGGUUGAAGCAGGCCAUGUGGAGAAUCUGAAACAGGCAUUUGCCAUAUAUCUCUAUGAUAGGGGACCUGCAUACUCCACGUAAUGAACUAGUGGACGGGGCUUAUUGUGAAUUUCCCCAUACUUUUGCAUCAUUGUGGCGACAUUAGUUCUUUCCUGAGGGGUUAAGUGUUACAUUUUGAUUAUGACAUCGUGUUGUAUUGUGGUACUGCAUCAAAAUGAUACAUAACAUUCUUUACUUGUUUGCUGAUUAGAAGUUUCAGUAACUGCAAUUUAUAUCUCUCAAUGAAGCACAGACUAGUAAUGACGCUGGAAGCCUUUGUAUUCUUGGACUAUUUCUCGAUUAGUGUGUGUCAUCCUUGUCCCGGGGCCAUGCCCUGUUAUUUUCUGUGUUAUUCUGAAGCCUUUGUAAUCUAGGAUGUAACCUGUAAUCACCUGGCUUUUGAUGUAGUAUUAUAAGAUAUAUACUCUUGUAAAUGUUAUUUCAUUUUGUGAAAUUGUUGUGGCAUACAUAUCAGUUAUAGUGGAAACAUAACUUAAAUUUCUUAGUUGCUACUUAAUCAGAUAUCUACCAACACGUGCUGUUUUUGAUUAAUAGGCUAAUAUUUUUCAGUGGUAUAGUUGAUUACUUUGGGCUUCUGUCUUUGCAACUUUUUAUCUUUUUAAACAUUCUACUGCUGUCCAUAUUUUAUAAAUCCGGUCUGCAUUUCCUUAUUGUAAUGUUCCAUCAUGCCGGUGCUAAACAUCUCUGACAGGUGGCCAUUUGUUCCAUUUUCUUUGUAAUAUCUAUUGAAGACUAUUCUAACCGAUUAAUCCAUUAAUAACUUCAUUGUUCAUGCAGAACUAUAUGUAAUUUGUUUGAUCUACCAUUAUCUACUUCCUAGUUUACUACACCUGCCAGCUAACAACUUCACAUGUGUCCUCAAUUAAGCUGUGUGGAAGAAGAGUACGUUAAAGUUAUAUUGAAGUUUGAAAAGCCCUAAAUUUGAUUCAUGACCAAUCACAUAUAUUAGUUUACAUGAUUUUGUGCAGAAGCUUUAGUAUGGCUACAAUUCCGUGCUUUUCCCUAAAAGACUUCAAAUUUAAAAUUGUCUUGACUACUUCAUGUCUCUGAAUGAUGCUGUGACCUGCACUUUGGAUGUUUCAAUCUAAAUAUCUUGUUGUGUCCUUUUACCACUUAAGGGAGUGUUCUCUUUAUAGUUCUCGAUAAUUGAUGCUUCGUAGUAUAAUAACACUGAAUACACACAAACGACAUUCUUCUGUGCAACCAUAACCACUAAAAUUGAGGAUCAAAAGGAAGCAACAAAUAUAUGUGUUUUGUUGUACAUUCAAACAAUAUUCAUAAACAAGUUGCUAGCUUUGAAGAUAUAAAUCCAAGGUUACAACACGAUCAUCAUCGUUUCUACAUCAAAAAGUACCAUCACUAGAGUCACAAAAAGUUGCCCAGAGUCACGCAUGAUUAUGUAUAUAUUACAAACCAUAAUAUCAGCGGUAAGAACCAAAAAAAUGCAGUCCUCUGCACUUCCUCCUCCAAGUCAACAACAAACCAUCACUGCUGGUUGCAGAUUGGAUUUUUAUAUGGAAACAAUCAGUUAAUUUCCUAAGCAUAAAUUUUUGUACAAGUGUAUAAUGCAAAUUUCAAAUGCCAUUAUUAUUUAAUUCUGCUGCAAACAUUAAUUCUGGCUUUCCAACACUUACCAGCCAGUACAUCUACACACAUUGCUAAUUGAAUCAAGGUUUGAUACAACCAAAAAUUGCGCAACUACUACAAGGAAUACUUCACAUUGGCAUAAUUAAAAAAUCAAAAUAGCAUUGCUAACUGAAGUAGCCAUUUAAGUACAAUAAAUAAAUGGAAGAAUCAGACCAUUUUUUCUCUACACAAGUAUUCUACAUGUCCUAAAAAAUAAGCAAGAACAAUUCCCGGUCACACUUUUUAUGUGCUCCAACAGCUGGAUUUUCAUCUCGGCGGCUGCAGCCGUAGAUACUCGCAUUUUGUCCGCUCUGCUCAGUUCUUGCUGUAAUUUUUUCCCUUUUCUACCAGCUCCAAGAGACCUUCUUUUUCUUGGAGUACACAGCCUGCUGUGCAAGUUCCAUCUCUUUGACAAAUCUGGAAAUUUUCUACAUCUUCAUUUCAACAGUUUGUAAGUCACUAUCUAUCCUCCAGGAUUUCUUAGUCCAAUCCUCAAAUUCCCUCACUAUCUACUUACGAGAAAUAUGGAAAAAGAACAAAGAGACAGCACUCUAAGUUCUGGACAGUGAAAAGAGAAUCACAACAAAAUGUUUUAAUUAGGAUCUUCUUAUGCACGAUGGAUUUUUGGCCUUAGAAUAAAUAAUAAUAUGCAGUACUCACUUGUCAAUAUCCAAUCUGGCAUACUUGAAAAGGUUCAGGGAAUUAAGGUUUCACAAAACAUUCUAAUAGAUAAAAGUCAGUGCAACAAAUUUAAUCAAUAAAGCCCCCAAAAAAAAAUUGGAUAUCAAAGCAGAAAUAAAUCCAACUCCAAUACCUGCAAAGCAAUACUGCAUUAUUAGUAAUCUAAUGAAAAAAGGAUUAAUAUAGCAAUACUGCAUUAUUGAUAGAGGAUCUAUAUCUAUGACUCCUAAGUCGGAAUAAGCCCUAGCUCUCACUCUACCAUAACUAUUUGUCAUACACGACGAUAACCAGAGCAUGAAAAAAAGGCCAGAACAGGAUAAAUAAGCAAAAUUCACAGUGAAUAUAAAGCAGAACACCCAAAACUAUAGAUGGUAUAAAUUAUAGCAUAAAGUAUAAUUUUUGGCAAAACUGCAAGACAGAUUGAAAAAACUACAUGCAGACAUUGAGCCAACAAAGGUCUCAAGAAACCUGACAAUCACCAUAAAGAAAUUUUGCCCAGAUGAAGCAUGACUUCUCACUAAGGACAUUGCCCUGCAUAUCAAGAACAACUUACUUCAAUCCCAAAUCCUAACCCACAUAAUGAACUAACUGGUUAUGACAAAUGCAAAUUUUACAUACCGGUACAAGGAUAUCGCCAUUUACCAUUUGUGACACAUACAAAAAGAUCAAUUCUCACACAUUAAAUGUUUAUUAGGAUAAAACAAAAAAUUCACUCGCAAGAAAAUUGGACAUCAUAGCUAUCAACAAAGACUUGCUGCAUCGUUCAAAACAGAUUCCCCAAAAACCAAUGCAUCAGAUGGGAACUAACUACAAACACCAUACACGCACACCAACCAUUAAGAAAAAAAAAUCAGAUACAGAUAAUGAAAACCAAAGCAGAUGAAACCUCGAAUUUAAGCCACAUGCAAAUCCAUAUCAUUGGAAUAGCCCAAAAACAAAAUGAAGAGCACAAUAGAAAGAGGACACUAACUGGUAUACCCGUGACCAUUGAAGCUAAAAAGGUUCCAAAAAUAGCAAAUGUCACAAUGGCUCCAAAGUUAGAAAAAAAAAGGUUUCUGCCAGGAAAACAAAAUCAUGACGAGACAGGUUGCACCUGAGCAACUAGAGUUUUAGGAUCACAUCAUAGAAGCAAAAAUGGAAAAUCCAGUGACAUUAAUUCAUUAAAAGAAAAUGAAUACCUAAUAUUUGUUUCAGUAUUAGAGAUAUUAGCCAGUGCACCAACAAUUAAACCUGAAAAAUAUACGAUGCAAGGAUAAUUAUUCAGCCAGCAAUUAAAGUAAAAUUAGCGAGAAAAAGAAAAAAGAAAAGAAAGGGAAUAAAAGUAAUUAAAAUAAUACCUAUGAGAAGAGAAGCGCUGGCUUCCGGAAGAUAAUAGAAUUUGUGACGGCGAAGGACGUGGCCGAGGACGAAAGAGAGUACAAGCAUCAUGAUCUGGAGGAUUAUGCCAACGCCAGCAACUUGCUGCUCCUUUGCGGGACUUCCACGAGGAUCCUUCGCCGGAGAUAUCUGCAAUGCCUCUCCCGUCAUUAUACCCCGAUGUCCCAACUUUCGAGCCCUAAAAUUCAUCCAAUCAAUUUGUUACUCUCAAGUAACCAAAGAACAUCAGCGUUACAACCAACCAAAAAGGGAGAAAGAAAAUAGUUUCUGAAAAUAAGUAGAAAAUUUAACCAAGCAUCAGUCACGUUUCUUCUCUUGUGAGCCGUAACGACUUCGGUGGUGGAGGAUUGAAUUUUGAUGACGAUUGGAUUAAGUUGGAAGGGAUGGGUAAUUUGAAGGUGAAAACGACGCCGUUACGCCAGUCAAGACCGGCUGUAGAAGGGAGUAUCUUGCGUUGCUUGUUUUUGGUGACCGGUUUCAACCGCUUAAACCAGUUUAAUUUUAUCACUUAUGUAUCCACUUGGCAAGCGUUUAUUGACCAACCAAUCUUUUCAUUGAUUGUAUGUUACAAUAAACGUAACUUAGAGGGAUCCUUCAUUCAAACAUCAUUUCCAAUAAAUCCAGUAACGUUGACGGCGUUUUCGCCAGUCUAAUCAACGCCUUAACACUAAAUCUAUGAAUGAUAUCUGUCUAGUUAUACAGAUUGAUGAGAUUUUACGUAAUUUCUUUGGACAGGUAUAGCGAAAUUUCACAGUGUGUCUUGAGUUGAUAUGAAAAUGAAAUCUUCCAAUUGAACACGCUUCAUUUUCACAAACACCAACAACUUGCUCCUUUCCUACAGAAAAAUAAGCAAAGAGACGGACAGAAGUUAAUAUAAAUUCAAAGAAAAACAGUCGCGGUUCUCAUGAGUUUUUUUCUGCCGGCUUCGGUUCAAUGGAUUCUUCCGCCAACCGAUCCUUCUUGAGAGCCUUCGAUUAUGACGUAUUUCCGUCGUCUGUACAAAUACAUACGUUAACAUGAAUUUGGUAUUUUAUUAUUUCAUUUUGAUUUUUCCUUUUUUUCUUUUUUUUUUUUUGGUGAUCUGUGGUUGAGCAGGGAUCGAGCUCUUUGACAUUCGGAGAGCGGAUCUGUGCGGCGUGUAUACCGUUGAUUGCUAUAAUAGAAGCCGUCGUAAUCACCGUCUCGAGUUGGUUUCGGUAUCGGCCUCCAGUCCAGAAAUGCCUCUUUGACGUCGGAGAUCUUGCUCGACUUGCUGCUGAAUCUCGAUGUAAUUUCUUUUUUUCUUUGACUGUGGUUUCUGAUUGCAGAAGUUGAUUUUUAAUUUGUUUGCGGAGCUGAGAAAUUUCGAAUUCCCUGUUUUGUUGUAAGUUACUGAGCCAAAAAGCUUUGCAUAAGCUUCUGCUGCGGUUUUGCUAUUGUGAAAAGCAAAUUAAGAGAUUUUUACUUGUUGACUUAUAUAUUUUUGGUAGUUGCUGCAAGUGAUUUUUCUUUUUGAAUUGUUUUCUUUUGACACUUGUACCGAACAACAAAGUGUAAUGUCGUCAAGAAUAGAGUGACAAAAUUUGAACAUUGUGAAUGUGCAAGUGUUUGUGUUUUUUUUAUACGUGUGAUUGAGAGUUCUAACUUUUGUGUAAUUGCUCAUGGUGCAGUUUCUGUUAAAGAAUUGGAGGCUUUGUCCGAGCUGUAUAAGAAUCUCAGUUGUUCAAUUAUCAAAGACGGCUUGAUACACAAGGUAAAUAUAAAAUUUAAGUUUUUUCUAUUUUUCAGCUUAGAAGUUCUGAUAUUAACUUUUUAAUGGUGUCCAGAUCAUUGGUUAGCGUGAAUUCUAGACUCUGAUGGUUAGAAUAAUGCAUCAAACAUUUUGUUUUUAUGAUUCUAUUUUAGGAUCAACUAAGAAAUUUCUUCAGUUUUAUAUCUCAUGGUUCAAAACCUGCUUAACUUAUUGUUUCUAAUUGACUGGGGGCCUGCAUUUAUCAGGCAUAAAAAGGGCGGACAACAAUUUAGGUAGGUAAGCUUUGUAACCAUCUCCUUGCAUGUGUCUUCAACAAAAACCAUUCCUACAAGUGUUCCUAGUUUGGCCCUUGAUGUAGUUUUGACAGAGUGAGCUCUGAUUGUUUCUAGUUAUUGAUUGUAUUUUUGUUCUACGACAUGUAAAUUAGUGUGACCAACUAUUGUUAUUUGGUUUUUGAUUCUGAUUGAUUUGGGAUAAAUUCUUGUAUCAUAAUUGUCAGUAAGCCAAAUUCUUGUGUCAUAAUCGUCAGUAAGCCAAUGAAACAGUUGAUCUGGCAGAUGUGAUCUUGUGAAAAGGUAACCAUUGGUAUGUUGUAUAUUGUCCUUUUGUGCUUUUGCAUGACACUGAUGCAGUUGCUAUAAUGGGUGCUAUCUCUUUACUCAAAUUUGUUGAAUCAAAUAUAUAACAUUGGGUAUAUAUCUGUAUGCCAAAUGAAAGAGUGUGCCUCUUGCAUGUGGUUCUUGGGCCAUGGUUCACUAUCUCUUACCCGCAUUGGGAAUUUAUCCCAAAAAUUUGGGUGUCUAUGAUGCUGUAUGUAUUGUUGGAAAAGAAAAAGGCAUAAAACGAUAUCCACACUGAAUAGGCAAUCCAAAGCACGUCUUAUUGUCACUCUUUCAGCUGUUUUUAUUAAAGUCCAUCUUGAGUGAGGAUGGUGCUUUGUUUCUUGCAUAUUGAGAUGACUAUUUCAAAUGAUUGUUAUCAUGUAGGAAGAACUUCAAGUGGCACUCUUCCAAACUCCAUAUGGCGAGAAUCUCUUUUUGGACCGGGUAGGUAAUCUUAUUGGACUAUCUCCUAUGUGUUUAUGAUGAAUUGGACUUUUAUUUGGUUUAAUUGCUUCCCACAUGGUGGAAAGCUGGGGGUCAGUUAUUGAACAAGAGAAAUGUAAAGGGUGUCACUCACAUAACUCCCAGGCCACUGUUGAGUUUGUUUAGUGUAUAUCUAGAAAUGGAAGUCUGAAAUCAACAUUAACAAGAUUUUGUGAGUUUGAUAACAAAAUAAAGUUUCUGUAACUCAUUUGCAUGUAUUUUAUGGUUUGAAGUCAAAUGAUAGAAGUUUAAUUGUUAUUUCAGAAAGUUUCUCUUAAUAUUACAUCACUGUAUGAAAAUGUGGCAUUUGUUUUUGUAGGUUUUUGAUCUUUUUGAUGAAAAGAAAAACGGUGUCAUUGAUUUUGAGGAAUUUGUACACGCACUCAAUGUCUUCCAUCCUUAUGCCCCAAUAGAAGAUAAAAUUGAUUGUAAGAGUUCAAGAUAAAAAACUUUGGAAUCAUCUGCAACCAUAUUAAUUAUGUUCAUUGAAACGUUUCAUUUUAUUUCUUGCAGUCACCUUCAGGCUCUAUGAUCUGAGACAAACUGGGUACAUUGAGCGAGAGGAAGUGAGUAUACUUCAUCCAAUUUUGUUAUCAGUGAUUCAUGUUCUGAAAGACUGAUAACUGAUGAUUUGUUCUAUGUUUUCAGGUGAAGCAAAUGGUAGUAGCCAUAUUGAUGGAAUCUGAAAUAAAAUUGCCUGAUGAUCUUCUUGAAGCCAUCAUUGAUAAAGUAUGGUCUUCUAAUUUUUUUCCUUGCUUCUGCUGCUCAUUUUCUGGGGCAUUUUGAUACUUAUAGCAUCCUCAUCCAUUUGUCCAGACAUUUGCAGAUGCUGAUAUAGAUAAGGAUGGCAGAAUCAAUAAAGAAGAAUGGAAGGAAUUUGCAGUUCAAAAUCCAUCCCUCUUAAAGAACAUGACUCUUCCAUAUUUGAAGUACGUAAUUAGCUUGUGCGUUUUAAUCUGCUUUUUCUUUCCUCAAAAUUGGGGUGCCUAAUUGCAAUUUAAACCUAUGAUCCACACUGUCUAUUUUGACCUAAUAAACGCUAAAAAUCAUGCCAAACUGAUGAUCAUGUUAUUUUAAUUGUUGUCAUCCUACAGGGAUAUCACCACAAUAUUUCCAAGUUUUGUUUUUAACACCGAGGUUGAAGACUGAAAAUUCAAAAUCCUUUCUAUUAAGGUGAUUUAAAACUUGCAGACUGUUUUAAAAAAUUGAAAAAAAUUAAAAAAUAAAAGUAAAUACAGCUGCCACAGAAAAUGGGUGGAUUAGCAAGUCAGUAUAGAGCAAGCAAGGCCAGAAUGAUGACAAUAAUUUUGGGUUAUUCCUAUUAUUUCAUCUGUUAGUUUAGAUUCUGAUUGCACAUCUGCUGUACGGUUAGCGGGAAAACUAUGUAAUGCCUAGCGCUGUUGUCUUAGAUCCCUUGUCUGGGUUAUCUGCCUCGAUUAUGUUUGUUUUUCCUAGUAAUCAGAUAGUGCUGAUCGUUAAGGAUGAUUUUUAUUUUUAUUUUUAUUCUGGAGGUUAUUUUACUUGUAAUUUUCAAAUAUUCAAGAGUUGAUUCACUGUUUGAUUGAUGAUUUAGGGUGUGUUUGGGAGUGAGGUAUUGUAGUUUUUAAGCUGUAGAUGCUGUGGAGUAAAAGCUGCAGUUGUGAAGUAGAAGUUGUGAAAAAAAUUUGUUAAGCUGUCAAAGUCCAACUCUAAGUGUUACCAAACACCUGAGUAACUGGGUUUUGGCAGCUCAACCAUCUCACCACACUCUCAAACGGGCUAUUAAUCCGUUAGUUACCGUAAACAUGGUGUAUUUUCUUUUUUAAAUUUGUUUUUCAUGUUUAGUUUCAAAAGACGAAUUUAAUAAGUGAAAA